UCUCUUCCCGCCGCCCAAGAUGCCGAAAGGAAAGAAGGCCAAGGGGAAGAAGGUGGCUCCGGUCCCUGCUGUUGUGAAGAAGCAGGAGGCCAAGAAAGUGGUGAAUCCACUAUUUGAGAAAAGGCCUAAAAAUUUUGGCAUUGGACAACACAUCCAGCCCAAAAGAGACCUCACCCGCUUUGUGAAAUGGCCCCGCUAUAUCAGGUUGCAGCGGCAGAGAGCCAUCCUCUAUAAGUGGCUGAAAGUGCCCCCUGCAAUUAACCAGUUCACCUAGGCCCUGGACCACCAAACAGGAGUUAACACCAUCACCACCUUGGUGGAGAACAAGAAACCUCAGCUGGUGGUGAUUGCACACGACAUGGAUCUCAUUGAGCUGGUUGUCUUUUUGCCUGCCCUCUGUCAUAAAAUGGGAGUCCCUUACUGCAUCAUCAAGGGGAAGGCAAGACUGGGACGUCUAGUCCACAGGAAGACCUGCACCACUGUCACCUUCACACACGUUAACUCGGAAGACAAAGGUGCUUUGGCCAAGCUGGUGGAAGCUAUCUGCACCAACUACAAUGACAGAUAUGAUGAGAUCCGCCGUCACUGGGGAGGCAAUGUCCUGGGUCCCAAGUCUGUGGCUCGCAUCGCCAAGCUAGAAAAGGCAAAGGCUAAAGAAUUUGCCAUGAAACGGGGUUAAAUGUACACUGUUUCUGUAAAUAAAAAUAAUU